UGUGUCACAACAUAUCAGAUAUCAGCUAUGCAAAUAACGUCUAUGCAGCAGGAAGACUUAUGGUGCAGAAGCCAAACACAACAUUAAUAGAAGGCCAAACUCAUUCAGCUAUUAAGAUGCACCAGUUACCUGGCCAACGUAUAAGAAGCCAUGUCAGUUGAUGGCUCAGCUCACAAUAUGACUUCCCCUUUGCGAGUAUGUGACAGGAAAAGAAGCUUUGUAGAUAUAUACAGAGUAUUACAGACAAUGACAGACAGAAAAUAUCAUACAAGUCUUUACAUCAACAUUCUCUAAUAAAGCCCCCACACAGCUGCCAUCUUCCUCUAACCCGGCAAUGGUCUCCUCAUGGGCUAUCACACUAAUUACUACAUCACCUUUCUUUCUUCCACUUACAGGGAGUCACACAGGACCAGCCCAUGGACGUAGGGACACCUUGCAGACCAUGCAGCGUGCACACAAUUCCUCACACAGCCUACUACAACCCUUCAGGCAACGACGGAGCAGCCAAUCAGUAGAGGCAAGGCAGAAAUGAAUGGCACAACACCCGCAGAAUUAUUUUUCUUUAUAAAAGCAAAAUAAUCAUUGGAAUAAUAUUGCACAGAGGUGAUGUCACAUGUCGUGGGGAUAUACGCCUUUCAUACAUGGUGUGGGGUUAUUUUAUUUAGGU